rnacentral:rRNA from 1 species
AUUGAACGCUGGCGGCAGGCCUAACACAUGCAAGUCGAGCGGAUGAAGGGAGCUUGCUCCUGGAUUCAGCGGCGGACGGGUGAGUAAUGCCUAGGAAUCUGCCUGGUAGUGGGGGAUAACGUCCGGAAACGGGCGCUAAUACCGCAUACGUCCUGAGGGAGAAAGUGGGGGAUCUUCGGACCUCACGCUAUCAGAUGAGCCUAGGUCGGAUUAGCUAGUUGGUGGGGUAAAGGCCUACCAAGGCGACGAUCCGUAACUGGUCUGAGAGGAUGAUCAGUCACACUGGAAAUUAGACACGGUCCAGACCCCUACGGGAGGCAGCAGUGGGGAAUUUUGGACAAUGGGCGAAAGCCUGAACCAACCAUGCGGCGUGGGUGAAGAAGGUCUUCGGAUUGUAAAGCUCUUUAAGUUGGGAAGAAGGGCAGUAAGUUAAUACCUUGCUGUUUUGACGUUACCAACAGAAUAAGCACCGGCUAACUUCGU